rnacentral:rRNA from 1 species
AACAGGAUUAGAUACCCUGGUAGUCCACGCCGUAAACGAUGUCGACUAGCCGUUGGGUCCUUCGCGGACUUUGUGGCGCAGUUAACGCGAUAAGUCGACCGCCUGGGGAGUACGGCCGCAAGGUUAAAACUCAAAUGAAUUGACGGGGGCCCGCACAAGCGGUGGAGCAUGUGGUUUAAUUCGAUGCAACGCGAAGAACCUUACCUACCCUUGACAUCCUCGGAAUCCGCCAGAGAUGGCGGAGUGCCUUCGGGAACCGAGAGACAGGUGCUGCAUGGCUGUCGUCAGCUCGUGUUGUGAAAUGUUGGGUUAAGUCCCGUAACGAGCGCAACCCUUGUCCCUAUUUGCCAGCGAUUCGGUCGGGAACUCUAGGGAGACUGCCGGUGACAAACCGGAGGAAGGUGGGGACGACGUCAAGUCAUCAUGGCCCUUACGGGUAGGGCUACACACGUGCUACAAUGGUCAGUACAAAGGGUUGCGAACUUGCGAGAGUGAGCCAAUCCCAGAAAGCUGAUCUCAGUCCGGAUCGGAGUCUGCAACUCGACUCCGUGAAGUCGGAAUCGCUAGUAAUCGUGAAUCAGAAUGUCACGGUGAAUACGUUCCCGGGCCUUGUACACACCGCCCGUCACACCAUGGGAGUGGACUGCACCAGAAGUGGUUAGCCUAACCUUCGGGAGGGCGAUCACCACGGUGUGGUUCAUGACUGGGGUGAAGUCGUAACAAGGUAACC